rnacentral:piRNA from 1 species
GAACAAUGAAUUUCAACAUAUGGC